GCCUGGCUAGCUCAGAUGGGAGAGCGUGUGACUCUUGAUCUCAGGGUCAUGAGUUCGAGCCUCACGUUGGGCA